GUUUGUUUUGGCCUGUGCAAUAGUAUCCCUAUGGAAUGUCUUUGUAAACAACCCGUGUAAGUCCUAAUAUUAUUUUACUUUUCUUAUUUAUGCUGUUGA